rnacentral:rRNA from 1 species
CACGUAGGGAGCAAGCGUUGUCCGGAUUUAUUGGGCGUAAAGAGCUCGUAGGCGGCUCAGUAAGUCAGGUGUGAAACCUCCAGGCUCAACCUGGAGACGCCACCUGAUACUGCUGUGGCUAGAGUCCGGUAGGGGAGCGUGGAAUUCCUGGUGUAGCGGUGAAAUGCGCAGAUAUCAGGAGGAACACCAGCGGCGAAGGCGGCGCUCUGGGGCCGGAACUGACGCUGAGGAGCGAAAGCGUGGGUAGCAAACAGG